CUCACUCCCUCCUCUGCCUCGCGCAAAGCGCACCGCUACCACAGGCGGUAGGACCGCACAACUUGCCCCAGAUCCAGAACAGUCUCCUAUCUCCUCAACUCACGCAUGACGACCUCCUCAGCUCCCCCAUCCGCAUCUCGCGAAGGUACGCCUACGCGCUCGCACAAGGGGGUGGUGCUGGCAGCUGGCCGCCUGGCCGUAACCAGACCACGCUCUGCACGACCUGUCCCUAGUUGGUGUGGUAGCUAGCUAGUGUACCUCAGCAUGGAAUUGGGAGCAGGUUUCUCUUCCAGUUCCACUGCAAAAUUGAGAUUCUAGGCUCUUGGUGUGGACGUCGAUCUGCACCUACAUUCGAAGCAUAUUUCAUAGGAUGUCUAGAGCUAUCUCAAAUUUAUUAUUAUUUUAUUAUUAUCUCAGUGUUUCUAGUUGAGCUGAGCAUCAGUGUACAUUAUCAAUAUCUCAGUGACUCAAAAAGGCUUUGAAUUUAGGGGAAAAAGUACACAAAGAGGUCAAUUAUUUGUUCUUUUAUUUUGCAGAGAACAGAAGCUGGUGAGCGAUCCAGAAUUCGGUCGUGAACUGAAGUGUGAUGUUGGCCAUGAGUAUUCCUUUUUGUACUAGUGUUCAAGCAAAACAAUCACUUAGAUGUCUGUGAAUUUGUAUCUUGAAAUCAUGUCAGACAGCAUGAAUUGACAUUUGGAGAGCCCUUUUCUAUGAUGCAGCUUGACAUCGUUCAUUGUCAUUGCAUUUUGUACUUUUCUGAAGAUCAUGAAAACAAUGAAGUGUUCAUGGUUCCUCAGUUCUGUUCUUGAUUUAUAUGUAUCUUCUAUAGAAAACUGGUUCAGAGCUGGUGUUUAUGGCCUCCCUCUGAAAUCAAAUCUCUCUCUCUCUCUAUCUCUCUCUCUCUCUAUAUAUAUAUAUAUAUCUUCUAUAGAAAACUGGUUCAGAGCUGGUGUUUAUGCAUUUUGGUUGAAACAGAUGAAGAGAAUACUAUCAUGAAUGCAUCUCCAAUACAUUUUGUUAAGCUAUCUCUGGCACAAAAGAAUGAUAACAUGAUUUCUUCAUGGAAAUGUCUAGGUGGUGGAGAGUAGUUUACUUAAGAUAAGUUGAAUUAUGGCUUACAACUCGUUAGAGUUCUAGAAUAUGAUUUGGUAGAUUGAAAUUUGUGGCUGCUGUCUCCCCAGUCUGCUAAAUUUUGCUCUUCGGCUCAAUUUCACUUUCAUAUUAUCUUUUUCAUGUCCUAUUUGCAUGGUCUGAUCUACACAUAGAACACUUUCAUAUUUCUGUUGUUGUUGUUGUUGCAGGGAGACAAGGGAUGGAACUCUUGAGCACUAAACACAAGUUGGUCGAAGGAAAAUCAUGAUGAGCAAAGUCAUUGUUGUGUUAACGUUUUGGGCAUGCCAAGAACUAUUUUUUUGGUUAUGAGUUUGUCAAACAUAUGUUGAGUUUGUCGCUCAUUUCUUAAGAGCUAUUUCUGUGAUCGAAGAAAUUUGUUUAUUUUAGUGGCAUGAAUAAAAAAACCAAGCAAAUCCAUGGUAGAAACUUGUUUGUGUGCAUAUUUUGAGGGCUUUGUUUUACUGGAACUGUUUGAUUUUGCUGAUUUUUAAAUUUUCUAUUUUACUUGUGAUUUGAUGAUGAUCACACUUCUAGCAACUGGUGGCAGAUGAUCCUUGGCAGCGACUACAUGGC
rnacentral:lncRNA from 1 species